GCCUUCGUGGUGUAACGGUUAACAGACUCGGCGCGUAUUUGAGAGAUCCAGGUUCGAGUCCCGGCGAGGGCA
rnacentral:tRNA from 1 species